ACAUUCAUGGUGAAGCGGUUAUCAUGCUUGCCUUCCACAAUUUGCUUACGUAAUCUGAAAUAAUUACCGGUGCGCGAUUAGUGAGCAAGCGGCAGGGGUUCGACUCCCCUUGAAUGUA